AAUUAAAAGUAAGAAAUGCUUUUUUUUAUCUGUCCUGCAUUGACAGAUAUUGACCCAUAUUUGAUAACGUCCCGUCAUUGAUAACUCAAUUCUGUCACUCGUAAAUCUGCAAUACUCUCUCCAAAUGAUAAAUUGAUUGUGAAAAUGGGUACCCCGUUAAUAUAAGCUAUGAAUUACAAAUUUCUCUAAAAAUAAGCCACAGAGUACUCAACUUAAUAAUACUACGGACCUUUACGUGGUACUGACGAGAACAUAACUAAGCAAUUUGCCUUAACACAUUGGGUCGCACCUGAGGCGGCUGAAGACAAAAACAAGUAAAGCCAUAUCCAAUGUUGGGACUAUGUCAUGCCAUGUUAUCAGGGAACCUAUAUAAGUCUUCAGUAUGAGUAAUCGUGGUGGGUCUGGGGACAACGAGUGGGUCCCCAUCGCCGCUGGUCUACUGGUGGGGGCCGGGGUCUUAGCUCUCAUCUACAAGUUGUACUUCACGGGCUGCAGGGGGUCUCUGAAAGACACUUACAACCAGCAACUCGCUGCACCGUACACUUGCACGUGUAAGAAGACUAAAGGCGAUACACCGUGCAAAAUACACAAGAAGAAAAAAUGAAUCGGGAGUACAAUUAAUACUUCUUGAUGUGAUGAAAAUGUAUCCUGUCACUAGACAUAUCUACAGAUAUGUCUAUGUCAGCCUACAACUCAGGUCUACAACAAACCCUAAUAUAAUAAAACUUAAUAUAACAAUGUAAUUAAAAAAUACCUCAAAAUGACCCCAAACAUUUUAUGGGUCAUCUUCGUCCAUUGAUGAAGAUUAUUAAAAUUAAUGCCGCUGUCAGCUCAGACUAAAUUAUGUGUGAUUGUUUUGAGGAGAGAGAAAGGAAACUAAAGGAAGCUUUAGAAGCGGAAUGUAAGAUCAGAGCGUCGAGAGCCGCCCAGGCUGCAGCGGAGGCUAAAAAAAGCAAAGGAACUGAUUCUCCAAGGUCAUCUGGUGCAAGCAAUUCACCCAUAGCCGUCAGGGUGGUCCGGCCGCCGCCGCAGCGCGCCGCUCCCGCUCCUCGCAGCAGACCUGACGAUUCCUUUUUAUCCAGAUUCUUAAGCCUUUUCUCAAGCCGGCCCUCACGUCCCACGCCACAUAAUUGUCUGAAACCGAAAGAGCCUCCCAGACGUAGAGGAUUUUUUUAUUGGAUGGGCUUAUUUAUUGGUAUGAUCGCAUUGUACAUCUCGUUUGCAUACUUUCUAUGCAAAAUGCGAGAAUAUGAUUGGAGAUCCCGCCUGGAGAACAUUCGUGCUGUCUUAUUAGACCCGUGUGCAACGAUAGAAUUCGUCUAUGCGGUCGCUGCCCAAGUCCGUGAGCGUGUCGGCAAUGUGGCCGCCGCGAUUAGGUCGGCUCGAGGCGGCGGCGGUAAAGUGUGCAAACCAAAACCCCCGCCUCCACCUUCUGAUGCCUGUAAAUGAGCAGGUUAUUACAUACUCUCAAUCAUCAGAAUCUCAAUCAUUCAACAAAAUAACGCUGAAAAUUAUUGUGAUAAGGGUACCUUUAUACUAAUAUACUUUGUCUUAAUAAAUGCCUCUACUGUGCUAGU